CCUACGGGAGGCAGCAGUGGGGAAUAUUGCACAAUGGGGGAAACCCUGAUGCAGCGACGCCGCGUGAGUGAAGAAGUAUUUCGGUAUGUAAAGCUCUAUCAGCAGGGAAGAAAAUGACGGUACCUGAUUAAGAAGCCCCGGCUAACUACGUGCCAGCAGCCGCGGUAAGACGUAGGGGGCAAGCGUUAGCCGGAUUUACGGGGUGUAAAGGGAGCGUAGACGGCAGCACAAGUCUGGAGUGAAAUGCCGGGGCUUAACCCCGGAACUGCUUUGGAAACUGUGCAGCUAGAGUGCAGGAGAGGUAAGUGGAAUGCCUAGUGUAGCGGUGAAAUGCGUAGAUAUUAGGAGGAACACCAGUGGCGAAGGCGGCUUACUGGACUGUAACUGACGUUGAGGCUCGAAAGCGUGGGGAGCAAACAGGAUUAGAUACCCUGGUAGUC
rnacentral:rRNA from 1 species